rnacentral:rRNA from 1 species
UACGUAGGGUGCAAGCGUUGUCCGGAAUUAUUGGGCGUAAAGAGCUCGUAGGCGGUUUGUCGCGUCUGCUGUGAAAACCCGAGGCUCAACCCCGGGCCUGCAGUCGAUACGGGCAGACUAGAGUGCGGUAGGGGAGACUGGAAUUCCUGGUGUAGCGGUGAAAUGCGCAGAUAUCAGGAGGAACACCGGUGGCGAAGGCGGGUCUCUGGGCCGUAACUGACGCUGAGGAGCGAAAGCGUGGGGAGCGAACAGG